ACUCCUACGGGAGGCAGCAGUGGGGAAUAUUGCACAAUGGGCGCAAGCCUGAUGCAGCCAUGCCGCGUGUAUGAAGAAGGCCUUCGGGUUGUAAAGUACUUUCAGCAGUGAGGAAGGUGGGGUAUGUUAAUUAAGCAUGCACUUCAUUUGACGUUAGCUGCAGAAGAAGCACCGGCUAACUCCGUGCCAGCAGCCGCGGUAAUACGGAGGGUGCGAGCGUUAAUCGGAAUUACUGGGCGUAAAGCGCAUGCAGGUGGUUUGUUAAGUCAGAUGUGAAAGCCCGGGGCUCAACCUCGG
rnacentral:rRNA from 1 species